AGAGAGCCUCAGGGUCUCACAGAUAGUUAAAAUCUCAAGAGGGGUGUCAUCAUUCAUGGUUAUCCAAGUACCCGUUGAAAAGGAGGGUUACGGUAAGCCAUGUGCCUUUACACUCUAUCAAUAACAUCUAUUACUCGACUCAGCAAUUCUAUUGAAGAAUGUCUGUGAGGAUUCUGUCCACCAGGGGGAGCUGAGAUGCAGUGUUAAUGUUCUCAACCUUUUACUAAGCAUAAUCAGCAACGAUUGGUAGAAGCUUCUCUAUGAAGAACCAUUUCCAUCAAAGUUGAGGAGCAGAGCUGCCACAGGCUUGCUGCGCAGGGCGUUGAAGGUGAAAGCUGAGAGGGAGACAAGCUGCUUGCUGUGAAGAGAACUACAGAGCAUGAAUCAACUUAUCAAGUCCUAUCAGUGCCUGCAUGGGGAAACUCAUGACUCAGCUCCUGGGAAACAAGAAAGGCAGAAUCUUCAGACUGUCUGUGGUCCUAGCAAGCAGCAUUCAGAGCAUCAUCUCCAGUGCUAUCUUUCCUUCUGCUCUGGCCUACUCUGUUCUCCUAUACCUUGGGUAAAUGAACGGGGGCAAAGGAACGCUAAUUUGGGCAUCAGUUGAAAAAACUUACAGAAGUCAUUGAAAUGAGGAUUUCAAAAAUUCCAAAUUUCAGAAAGCAUGAAUUAUAUUAAAUAACAAUCAAAAGCCA